AUUGAACGCUGGCGGCAUGCCUUACACAUGCAAGUCGAACGGUAACAGGUCUUCGGAUGCUGACGAGUGGCGAACGGGUGAGUAAUACAUCGGAACGUGCCUAGUAGUGGGGGAUAACUACUCGAAAGAGUGGCUAAUACCGCAUGAGAUCUACGGAUGAAAGCAGGGGAUCGCAAGACCUUGUGCUACUAGAGCGGCCGAUGGCAGAUUAGGUAGUUGGUUGGAUAAAAGCUUACCAAGCCGACGAUCUGUAGCUGGUCUGAGAGGACGAGCAGCAACACGUGGACUGAGACACGGCCCAGAAUCCUACGGGAGGCAGCAGUGGGGAAUUUUGGACAAUGGGCGAAAGCCUGAUCCAGCAAUGCCGCGUGCAGGAUGAAGGCCUUCGGGUUGUAAACUGCUUUUGUACGGAACGAAAAGCCCCGGGUUAAUACCCUGGGGUCAUGACGGUACCGUAAGAAUAAGCACCGGCUAACUACGUGCCAGCCGCCGCCGUAA
rnacentral:rRNA from 1 species